CAUAUUAUUACAACGCUCCUAGUAAUAUUCUGCUAUAGAGAUUUGUGAUUCACAAGCUAUUAAAGAUAUAUCCUUCAAUAGCAGGUAUUGGAGAAUAUAUAUUUACCGGUGCUAGGGCUGUGUCAGUGUCUGAAUCACUGCUUAGUCCACCAUCAUAGUAUAUCGUUAUCGGUGAAUCUGGUGCCCUGGAAUCAUUGGAUUGCCUGACUGCUUCUAAGGUAUACUCUUCCUGUUCAUUAUCAU